UUUGCUUCUUGGCCUUUUGGCUAAGAUCAAGUGUAGUAUCUGCCAAAGGUGCUUCAACAAGUACAGAGUGAAGGGUCUGAAUGCUUAUGCCAACAUCAUAUUUCAGUUUUUUCUUUUUAGUAAAUAUACAGACAUUUCUCAAAUUCUGUUUCCACUUUGUCAUUAUGGGGUACUGAGUGUAGAUUAAUGAGAAAAAAAAA